UGUAACUUAGUUUAAAUAGAACAGUUGAUUUGCAUUCAUCAAGUGAUAUAAUAUCAGUGGCAG
rnacentral:tRNA from 1 species